rnacentral:lncRNA from 1 species
CAAUAAUACACUUUAUUAUUGCAUCUACCACGAUGAAUAACAACAACCUUUUCCUCCAUUAGGUGUUGUUUUUCCCUGAGCUCUUCGAUUUCCUUUAUUCCAGCUAAAGUGAGGUCCAGUUUACUGUUUAUUUCUGCGAGCGUCGCUGCCAUGUCGUUGGACGGAUUAGAUUCUUCUGAAUUUGAAGGUUCAUCAUGUCUGAGAGCCUCUCAUUACUCUUGACUUGUUUCCGUGUCAUUCCCUCUUUAUCUGGCAUUGUGUCUAAAUGUAUAAAGCCAUCUUUCUACACCAUUUGAUGUAGUGGUCACAGAGCUCAAAAAUAACGUCCGUACACCUCAACAGCUCUUCCCAAUUCUUCUUCAGAUUAUUACUGGAGUUAAAAUUUAAUUUAAAAACAGUGUUGCACCCACGCAACAUUAUGGCAGACCUAGUGUCUUUAAUGCUCAUGAGCAUUCAAUUGUCAAAGCUGAAAUUGAUAGACUCCUCGCUAACGUGGUCAUUAUCCAGGCGACACAGGAACCAGAGGACUUUAUUUCCACAAUAUUUUUACGACCGAAAAAAGAUGGCACACACCGUAGCAUUCUAAAUCUCAAAGCGUUUAACAAAUUUAUAGCUUACAAUCAUUUUAAAAUGGAUACACUAGAGGCUGCUGUAAACAUGACGAGGUCAGGUUGUUUUAUAGCUUCGGUGGACUUAAAAGACGCGUAUUAUACCAUUCCUAUCCACCCAUCUCACCAAAAAUACUUAAAGUUCUGUUUUGACAGUGUUUUUUCAAAUAUACCUGUCUGCCUAAUGGCCUAACUAGUGCCCUGCACAUAUUUAUUAAACUAUCGAAACCUGUGUAUGCCACACUUAGGAGUGUGGGACAUCUCAAUUCAGGGUAUAUUGAUGAUUCUUAUCUGCAAGGCAACACCUCAGCUCAAUGUCUUAAAAAUGUGAUUGACACCAUCACCAUGUUUACCAAAUUAGGGUUUCACAUCCAUCCAGAGAUAUCAGUUUUCAUGUCAUCCCAGAAAUUAACUUUCUUAUGGUUUGUAUUGGAUUCUAUCGCUAUGACAGUUACACUUACUGGGGAAAAAGUUCAAUGGAUUCUGUUUGCACUAUGCUCUUACAAACACAACUGCCAACAAUUAGACAGGUCGCAGAGGUUAUCGGGUAUUCUACUGUCCAAUUUUCCUGGUGCUCAGUACAGACCUCUACACCACUGCCACCUUGAAUGGGAUAAAUAUCUCGCACUCAUAGCAAACAAGGGUGAUUACAUGGGAAAAAUGCACUUAUCCCCUCCCACUUUCACAGAAAUUCAGUGGUGGUGCAAUAAUGCCAUAACUCUCAAACAAGAUAUCCACUACGACCACCCCAGUAUCACAAUUCAGUCAGACGCAUCAACAUUGGGCUGGAAAGCGGUUUUUGGCACUCAGGAAAUGGGGGGAGAUGAACCCCUUUGGAAGCUGGAUAUCAUAUAAGUAUAUUGCAAUUACUUGCAGCCUUUUUUGCAUUAAAGUGUUUUUUUUGCCAUGUGAACAACUGCCACAUCCAAAUUUAGAUCACAGGGCAUACUAAUUGCUCUGUUUUGGCCAACCCAAAUGUGGUUUCCAUUACUCCUACAACAUUUGUGCGACCAGCCCUGGAUUCUGCCCCUACGCCCAGACCUUCUUCAACACCCCUCUCACAGAAGCCCACAUCCCCUACACAGAAAUCUUCAUCUGUUACAACUUUCCAGAGGAGGUUAAAGAAAUUCUCAUGGCAACUUGGAGGAAAGGCACUCAAAAACAGUAUGCCAUAUACAUUAAAAAAUGGAUGGCAUUCUGUCAUGUAAGACAAAUUAAUUGUUAUUGACCACCACCGAGUGACACCCUUCAAUUCCUCAAGGGGCUUUUUAAUCAAGGGCUUACCUACUCUAACCUUAAUAAAGCUUCCUCUACCUUAGCUACCAUUGUUGUGAUAGAUGGGGGAAGCUUUGGUAGCAAUCACAUUGUUACCCAGUUUAUGAAAGGGGUAUUUGAAUCAUGUAGACCCAAACCUAAAUAUGACAAAAUUUGGGAUGUUUCAGUGGUUUUGAAACAUUUAUCUUCUUUAUACCCCAAUGAAAAAUUGUAUUUAAAGGAUUUAAUGCACAAGUUACUUAUGCUAAUUUUACUGGUUUCGAGUCAACAAGAGCAAUCAAUACGCUACUUAGAUCUACAACAUCUUACCAUGGAAGAGGAUAAUUCUUUCUUCGACGUUGCUGAGCAUAUUAAGACCAGUACUCCCCGAAGCCCAUAUAUGAGGAUUGACAUUGCUGCCUAUGGGCCAGACAGAUCAAUUUGCUCCCUGACUUGUCUGAAGCAUACAUCAACAAGACCAAGAACUUGCAUAAUAACGAAACAAAAUUGUUUAUUAGUUAUGUUAGACCCCAUAAGCCUGUAUCUAGGGACACAAUUUCAAUGUGGACUAAGGAAACUCUGACUUUGUGGGAUUGAUACCAAGGUGUUCACAGCACACAGGACUAAGUCAGCAUCUGUUUCCAAAGCAAAUGAAAAGGAUGUCCCUGUCCAUCAGAUCAUGGCUAAGGCAGGCUGAAAGUCUGCCGAGAUCUUCCAUAAAUAUUACAAUAAACCUGUUAUUCAAGGAAACAGACUAGCUUCUGCUAUCCUCAACCAGUGAAAACUUCGCAAUGUUUCUUGUAUAUUACAUGUACUAUUUUUGCUUAUUUUGUUGCUGUUAGACCAUAAAUUACAAACAUAUUUAUCAUUGCUUAUGCUCAAUCUCUUGCUUUUGUAUGGAUUUCAUUCCUCCUGUUUGAGUGCAUGUCGUAUGGAUGCAUCAAUCCUUUAAUGUCUCAUGGGAUCUCUGCCUUCUGGUGAUGUGACAGAAUUGAAAAAUUAAAUGAGACUUACCUGUAAGUUGAAGUUUGAUUGAAAUUCUAUCACAUCACAUCAGAAGACAAGAGAUAAGAUGCCCUCCACUAUCUACACUUACCCUCUCUGAGGCAAGUUGGUUGCCAGUCUUUUUCUAGUUUGGCUCUUUCGGCCAGCAUACUAUUUUUUGGUACACCCAGUAUGUGGCUUUUAACUAUGACUUGCGCAAGCACCGUGCUAUCUCAUGUGAUCUCUCGCCUUCUGAUGUCAUGUGAUAGAAUCUCAAUCAAACCUCAACUUAUAGGUAAGUCUUGUUUAAUUUUUCAAUUCUCCUGCUCAUUCACCCAUCUUUCUGCUACAGCAAAAGUGUUUAUCCAAGGUGAACGCUUUUGCUGCUUAUAAGCCCUUUGAACCCUUUCCUGCCCGAGACCCACUUUAGUGGGUCCCGAUAUGGCCCAUACUUCAACUCGCUCCCAGUAGACAUAAAUGCGUAUAGGGGGGUUUAAGCAUUGCCACAGGGUACAUAUUUGAAACAAGCUUUCAAUCAAUUUGAAGCAAGAGAAGGUUGGCGAGGAUUUUGCACAAGUUCACAAGUUUGUUUUCAAAUUUUUGCUUUCAAAAUGGCGUCGGCGAGCACCUCUCAUGCUGAAGAUGAACAAGAAUUGAUUUUUUCCUCUUCUGGAGAUGAAAUUAGCGAUUUUGAAGGCUUCGAUAUUGAUGAAAUGUCCUUGAGUUUCAUAGCACGUGGAAAUGAACAACGUGAGUCUGACAGCGACCAAGAUAUGGACGAUUUCCUUGAUGAAAGUAGUGAUGAAGAUGAUUCAGCUAGCGAGUCAGCUGAUGAGAUCGUUGAAGAUUGGAGCAGUAUU